GAUUGUUAUUUUUUAUUUAGUUUUCAGUAUUCAGUAAUCAGCAAACAACUCAACAAUUACACCAACAUUAAUUCAGGCUUACAGCCCUCUGACGUGGGGUUGCUUUUUUUUCCCAACGCUGCGCAUUGGGCUGAAUUAACGCGCCCUUUCAGGGCUUUUUCUCAAAUUGUCAAUGGUCAUUUAGUUUUCAGCGAUCAGUAACAAACAACUCAACAACUCAACAAUUCAACAACUCAACGCCCGAAGGGCAUCACUCUUCACUUUUCACUUUUCGUUCUUCACUCUUCACUUUUCAC
rnacentral:sRNA from 1 species